AAAAAAAAAAUAACCUACCUAUAAGACUGGGAUAACUUCGGGAAACCGGAGCUAAUACCGGAUAAUAUAUUGAACCGCAUGGUUCAAUAGUGAAAGACGGUUUUGCUGUCACUUAUAGAUGGAUCCGCGCCGCAUUAGCUAGUUGGUAAGGUAACGGCUUACCAAGGCAACGAUGCGUAGCCGACCUGAGAGGGUGAUCGGCCAAAAUGGAACUGAGAUACGGUCCAGACUCCGACGGGAGGCAGCAGUAGGGAAUCUUCCGCACUGGGCGAAAGCCUGACGGAGCAACGCCGCGUGAGUGAUUAAGUUUUUUGGUGAUUCGAACACCACCAAGAUCUACACACAG
rnacentral:rRNA from 1 species